GAUUGAAAGCCCAAGCUGUUUCCAGAAUAGGAUUUCUGACAAUGGUAUAAGCUGGUAUAAUUACAUAGAGGUGAGACUAGCUAGUAAGCUAGGUAGGUCAUAAUUACAUAAGUGGGGAUAAGGCAUGGUAGCCCCAACCGCCACUCCCAAUCUCCCAUAAAUUAACCUCUGGCUCAAUACUUAGGCAAGCAAAAACAGAAAAAGAGAGAGAAAUAAACGGCAUUUUUGGUGGAAUGGGUAAAAAAACUGGGUAAAGUCGUGAAUCACUAGGUAAAAGAGAAGAUAGAUCUGGGUAGGGAACUUUUCCAAGUUAAGGAAUUUCUCCUGGGUAGACGAAGGCGAUGAUGGCGACGAAGGAGAGCUAGAGGAAGACCUUUCCAAAUUGACUGCAACUCCGCCAUCUCAACAUCCACGAUGACGAGUAUCAGCCUCCAAUUCAUUUUUAUCUCGACAUGUCCUCUAUGACUUAUAUACGACAAAAGGAAAGUUCUGUUUUUGACGUCAACGGAGCAGUAUUUUCCGGACAACUUAGCGCCGUCAUGUGUUCUGACAGUACAGAAGUUGAAAAGUACUGCGAUUCAUCUCUAUUAUAUAAAGGAACAGCUGAGGGCUUUUUAGUAACUUAACUUUUCGUGUCCCCCAAGUAAAUGACUAAAAUACCCUCAGUGUGUUGUUUAUCGGGCUUGCUGAGUAUUCGUUUCUAGGAUCUCUCCCCUCCUGUAAAUUCUGGAUCAUUAACCUAGCGGAUAGCACAAUCACCGGAGAGUUUACCGGCGUGUUUGUCGGCGGAGUAAGGCACCUUAGGGAGUGCCUUACGGACCUUCUUUGUUCGUCGGAUCUGAAGCACCGCCAUUAGCAAAGCGCAGAGGAGAACGACGAUUGUUUUGUCAUUUUAUCAACUCACAAAGAAAUCUGAUGGUGGUUAGGCGCUCUCUCUUCGAAAUCGCCGCCGCCGUCAUGCUUCAUCUCAUCAUAAUGUUUCAUCGCCGCCGCUGUCGGGUGAAUGCCGUGAAUCUCUAGGGUUUGUUUGAGAAAUUUUAUUUGUGCGAUUGAAGAAGAAAAUGGGUCACAGGCACGUAGUUCUUCCACAUGAAGUUGCUAAACUUCUUCCAAAGAACUGCCUUCUGUUUGAGGUUUAGUACUUUCAAAAGAAUUUGGAACUGAAGCAAAGCCAGAUCGGUUUAGCAGCCUCAAUGACUGCAAAUUAGAGGGUUGUCCAUGUGUUAACAGAAUCUGCCAGUGUCAUAAAACCAGGGUGGCAGAAGAAGCUUAUUCUAAGAUACCAGCUCAACUAAAUGACAAGGCCAGACCUCAAUGUUCUGGAGACUGUAAAUGCAAAAGAACUGAAGUUGAAGCAGUAUAUCAAACCCUAGAUUUCACGCCUCCAGUCGCUGUCAUCGCAUCUUCUCCUUCCCGCUGCUCUUCUCCAUCUCCGCGAUCCCCUUUUUCCCUCAAUUGUCUGGAUCUGACUUCGGAGACUCCAUAUAGAAGUGUGCUUUGGCUCUUUGGUGUCGUUGAUCGAGCAUUGGGAGAGCGUCAACACAGUCUUCAACUCCUCAAGCAUGUAUAAAACACUGGAAUAGGGUUUAUUUGUGGGUCACUAAUGUUUUAAAUUGCUGAUUUUAUUGCAAAGGUAAAAGAAGGAGGUGUAUGUGAUUGAAACAUACACAAUUUGGAAUGGACAUGAGCCUGUGAGAUGAGAGGUUUGUGGGAACUCCUUAAUUUUAAAACCUAAAUAUUUAUUUAUUUAUUACUACCUCCGUUCCUUAAUGUUCUUUACGCUUUGGAAUAUGUGUCAAAAGUAUGAAAACUUUGACCGUGGAUUCUCACUGUUAUAUACAUUUUAAGAUCUUGUUAGUUUGGUCUCGUUGUGUAUUUUUACAAUAUCAAUUUUUUAUAUUUUUUUCACAUACGGAAAUGGAUAUAUAAGUCGUUAAAUAUUGCAUUGGAGUCCGUGCAAAUAGUAACCGUAAAGAACAUUAAGGAACGGAGGUAGUAGUUCAUGUUUAAGUUUACUUCAUUAUUGUUUCUCCCUUUCUGAAUUUAAUAGUCCCAUUGAUAAUGUAAUUUUGAAGUUAAAGUCUGAA